AGGGAUCAUUACAGAGUUGCAAAACUCCCGAACCAUUGUGAACUCAACCUCUUCAACCGUUGCUUCGGCGGGCCGGUCCCGGCGUCAUCGCCGCGGGAGCCGCGCGGCCCCCUCCCCCUUUCCCUCUCCGGUUGGGGCGGGGGGCGCCCGCCGGAGGUACCUUAACCACUGACGUCGUUUGGCCUCUCUGAGUGACUGUACCGAAUAAGUCAAAACUUUCAACAACGGAUCUCUUGGUUCUGGCAUCGAUGAAGAACGCAGCGAAAUGCGAUAAGUAAUGUGAAUUGCAGAAUUCAGUGAAUCAUCGAAUCUUUGAACGCACAUUGCGCCCGCCAGUACUCUGGCGGGCAUGCCUGUUCGAGCGUCAUUUCGACCACCAAGCCCCCGGCUUGUGUUGGGGACCUGCGGCUGCCCGCAGGCCCUGAAAACCAGUGGCGGGCCCGGCGGCACUCCGAGCGCAGUAGCACCUGUUCUCGCUCAGGGCGUGCCCCGGGGUUUUGUUCCCGGCCGUUAAAUAGCGCCUUUUCGCAAGGUUGACCUCGGAUCAGGUAGGAGGACCCGCUGAACUUAAGCAUAUCAAUAAGCGGAGGAAAAGAAACCAACAGGGAUUGCCCUAGUAACGGCGAGUGAAGCGGCAACAGCUCAAAUUUGAAAUCUGGCUUCGGCCCGAGUUGUAAUUUGCAGAGGAAGCUUCCGGCGCGGCACCUCCUGAGUCCCCUGGAACGGGGCGCCACAGAGGGUGAGAGCCCCGUAUAGUUGGAUGCCCAGCCCGUGUGAAGCUCCUUCGACGAGUCGAGUAGUUUGGGAAUGCUGCUCAAAAUGGGAGGUAAAUUUCUUCUAAAGCUAAAUACCGGCCAGAGACCGAUAGCGCACAAGUAGAGUGAUCGAAAGAUGAAAAGCACUUUGAAAAGAGGGUUAAAUAGCACGUGAAAUUGUUGAAAGGGAAGCGCUUGUGACCAGACUUGCGCCGGGCUGAUCAUCCGGUGUUCUCACCGGUGCACUCUGCCCGGCUCAGGCCAGCAUCGGUUCCCGCGGGGGGACAAAGGCCCUGGGAACGUAGCU
rnacentral:sRNA from 1 species